UUUGUCAAUCCUUCAGUACAGGCUGCAGGACUUCCCGAGGUACACGUGUCUGAAGAAGUCCUUCAGACUUAUCUAGGAAUGUUAAACUGACGUCUCUAAAAGCCGUUUUCUUCGGUUGUAGGCAUUCUUUUUUAAUCAGGGGGCUACCCUGACACCACAACUCAAAGGAAACUACAAUAAAUGCGUAGUAGAGCGCCUCGGACAGUGUAGCAAGAAUGCAAGAACAAUUGCGGUCUUUCCGGCCUCGUCGAGUCUCGAUAGCGGUUAAGAUGCAGGAAUGGAGCGACUUGACUGACAGACUCUGGAAUCACCUGCCACUUCAUCUCAGAAGAUUCAUCGUGUCGAUGAUCGUCUUCAUCAUGGGAUCCACUGUCAGAGGAGAAUGGUUCUUGUUCUGGAUAUACUACCGAAAGGCUUUCGACGAUCAUCCAACGACCGAGGACGCUUCUGUACCAAAUGACACUCUCGUCUCUCCUUCGGAUUCUGAGAGCCUCUUCAGCCUUGACGAUAUCUACCUUCAAGGUCUCGGUAUCUACUGGCUAUGGGCAACCACGGUCUCCUUCGCUAUCUACCUUCUCUCCGGGGCAUUCUUGCAUUGGCACUUCUACAUACGCCAGCGAGACAGAGCCUCAGAGUGGAAGUGUCAACCGACGAAAUUUCCCUCCAGCGAAACGAUCCGCGAGGAAAUCCUGCUGGGGUCCUCUUCGCUUCUGCUGGCCUCGAGCAUCACGGGCGUCGUCGCUUGUCACGUCAUGAACGGGGGAAAAUGCACCAUCUAUUAUAGAGUAGAAGACUACGGCUGGUUCUGGCUCCUCCUUUCGGUGCCCCUUGUUUUCGUUUGGCAGGAUUACCUGACCUACUGGGCGCACAGAGUCUACCACCACCCGUUCCUCUACCGCCACUUCCACAAGAUCCAUCACAAGUUCAAGCAGCCGACUGCUUUCAGCGCCGUUGCCUUCCACCCAGUUGAGCUGUGCACCUUGCAGGCCAUCCUCUUCAGCCCCAUGUUCCUCUACCCCGUCCACUGGACGAUAUUCGCCGGGAGUCUGGCCUACAAUUACUACCACGGCAUCGUUGACCAUUCGGGCGUCACUUUCGAGGCCCAGUGGUGGCAGCCUUGGC